AGAACGAACGCUGGCGGCAGGCUUAACACAUGCAAGUCGAACGCGUGUAGCAAUACACGAGUGGCGCACGGGUGAGUAACGCGUGGAUAUCUGCCUUUUGGUUCGGAAUAACCCCCGGGAAACUGGGGCUAAUACCGGAUGGUUCCUUCGGGAUAAAGAUUUAUCGCCAAAAGAUGAGUCCGCGUACGAUUAGCUAGUUGGUGAGGUAAUGGCUCACCAAGGCGACGAUCGUUAGCUGGUCUGAGAGGACGAUCAGCCACACUGGGACUGAGACACGGCCCAGACUCCUACGGGAGGCAGCAGUGGGGAAUAUUGGACAAUGGGCGCAAGCCUGAUCCAGCCAUGCCGCGUGAGUGAUGAAGGCCCUAGGGUUGUAAAGCUCUUUGUGCGGGAAGAUAAUGACGGUACCGCAAGAAUAAGCCCGGCUAACUUCGCGCCAGCAGCCGC
rnacentral:rRNA from 1 species